AAAUUGAAGAGUUUGAUCAUGGCUCAGAUUGAACGCUGGCGGCAGGCCUAACACAUGCAAGUCGAGCGGUAACACAGGGAGCUUGCUCCCGGGUGACGAGCGGCGGACGGGUGAGUAAUGUCUGGGAAACUGCCUGAUGGAGGGGGAUAACUACUGGAAACGGUAGCUAAUACCGCAUAAUGUCGCAAGACCAAAGAGGGGGACCUUCGGGCCUCUUGCCAUCAGAUGUGCCCAGAUGGGAUUAGCUAGUAGGUGGGGUAAUGGCUCACCUAGGCGACGAUCCCUAGCUGGUCUGAGAGGAUGACCAGCCACACUGGAACUGAGACACGGUCCAGACUCCUACGGGAGGCAGCAGUGGGGAAUAUUGCACAAUGGGCGCAAGCCUGAUGCAGCCAUGCCGCGUGUAUGAAGAAGGCCUUCGGGUUGUAAAGUACUUUCAGCGGGGAGGAAGGUGUUGAGGUUAAUAACCUCAGCAAUUGACGUUACCCGCAGAAGAAGCACCGGCUAACUCCGUGCCAGCAGCCGCGGUAAUACGGAGGGUGCAAGCGUUAAUCGGAAUUACUGGGCGUAAAGCGCACGCAGGCGGUCUGUCAAGUCGGAUGUGAAAUCCCCGGGCUCAACCUGGGAACUGCAUUCGAAACUGGCAGGCUAGAGUCUUGUAGAGGGGGGUAGAAUUCCAGGUGUAGCGGUGAAAUGCGUAGAGAUCUGGAGGAAUACCGGUGGCGAAGGCGGCCCCCUGGACAAAGACUGACGCUCAGGUGCGAAAGCGUGGGGAGCAAACAGGAUUAGAUACCCUGGUAGUCCACGCCGUAAACGAUGUCGACUUGGAGGUUGUGCCCUUGAGGCGUGGCUUCCGGAGCUAACGCGUUAAGUCGACCGCCUGGGGAGUACGGCCGCAAGGUUAAAACUCAAAUGAAUUGACGGGGGCCCGCACAAGCGGUGGAGCAUGUGGUUUAAUUCGAUGCAACGCGAAGAACCUUACCUACUCUUGACAUCCAGAGAACUUUCCAGAGAUGGAUUGGUGCCUUCGGGAACUCUGAGACAGGUGCUGCAUGGCUGUCGUCAGCUCGUGUUGUGAAAUGUUGGGUUAAGUCCCGCAACGAGCGCAACCCUUAUCCUUUGUUGCCAGCGGUCCGGCCGGGAACUCAAAGGAGACUGCCAGUGAUAAACUGGAGGAAGGUGGGGAUGACGUCAAGUCAUCAUGGCCCUUACGAGUAGGGCUACACACGUGCUACAAUGGCGCAUACAAAGAGAAGCGACCUCGCGAGAGCAAGCGGACCUCAUAAAGUGCGUCGUAGUCCGGAUUGGAGUCUGCAACUCGACUCCAUGAAGUCGGAAUCGCUAGUAAUCGUAGAUCAGAAUGCUACGGUGAAUACGUUCCCGGGCCUUGUACACACCGCCCGUCACACCAUGGGAGUGGGUUGCAAAAGAAGUAGGUAGCUUAACCUUCGGGAGGGCGCUUACCACUUUGUGAUUCAUGACUGGGGUGAAGUCGUAACAAGGUAACCGUAGGGGAACCUGCGGUUGGAUCACCUCCUUA
rnacentral:rRNA from 1 species